rnacentral:rRNA from 1 species
GUGACAGCCGCCGCGGUAAUACGGAGGGUGCAAGCGUUGUUCGGAAUUACUGGGCGUAAAGCGCGUGUAGGCGGCCUUGCAAGUCAGAUGUGAAAGCCCUCGGCUUAACCGGGGAAGUGCAUCUGAAACUGCUUGGCUUGAGUACCGGAGAGGGAGGCGGAAUUCCCAGUGUAGAGGUGAAAUUCGUAGAUAUUGGGAGGAACACCGGUGGCGAAAGCGGCCUCCUGGACGGAUACUGACGCUGAGACGCGAAAGCGUGGGGAGCGAACAGGAUUAGAUACCCUCGUAGUCC